GACGAACGCUGGCGGCGUGCCUAAUACAUGCAAGUUGAGCGCUGAAGGUUGGUACUUGUACCGACUGGAUGAGCAGCGAACGGGUGAGUAACGCGUGGGGAAUCUGCCUUUGAGCGGGGGACAACAUUUGGAAGCGAAUGCUAAUACCGCAUAAAAACUUUAAACACAAGUUUUAAGUUUGAAAGAUGCAAUUGCAUCACUCAAAGAUGAUCCUGCGUUGUAUUAGCUAGUUGGUGGGGUAAAGGCUCACCAAGGCGAUGAUACAUAGCCGACCUGAGAGGGUGAUCGGCCACAUUGGGACUGAGACACGGCCCAAACUCCUACGGGAGGCAGCAGUAGGGAAUCUUCGGCAAUGGACGAAAGUCUGACCGAGCAACGCCGCGUGAGUGAAGAAGGUUUUCGGAUCGUAAAACUCUGUUGGUAGAGAAGAACGUUGGUGAGAGUGGAAAGCUCAUCAAGUGACGGUAACUACCCAGAAAGGGACGGCUAACUACGUGCCAGCCGCCGCGGUAA
rnacentral:rRNA from 1 species